rnacentral:rRNA from 1 species
AGCGGCGGACGGGUGAGUAAUGCCUAGGAAAUUGCCCUGAUGUGGGGGAUAACCAUUGGAAACGAUGGCUAAUACCGCAAACGCCUACGGGCCAAAGAGGGGGACCUUCGGGCCUCUCGCGUCAGGAUAUGCCUAGGUGGGAUUAGCUAGUUGGUGAGGUAAGGGCUCACCAAGGCGACGAUCCCUAGCUGGUCUGAGAGGAUGAUCAGCCACACUGGAACUGAGACACGGUCCAGACUCCUACGGGAGGCAGCAGUGGGGAAUAUUGCACAAUGGGCGCAAGCCUGAUGCAGCCAUGCCGCGUGUGUGAAGAAGGCCUUCGGGUUGUAAAGCACUUUCAGUCGUGAGGAAGGUAGUGUAGUUAAUAGCUGCAUUAUUUGACGUUAGCGACAGAAGAAGCACCGGCUAACUCCGUGCCAGCAGCCGCGGUAAUACGGAGGGUGCGAGCGUUAAUCGGAAUUACUGGGCGUAAAGCGCAUGCAGGUGGUUUGUUAAGUCAGAUGUGAAAGCCCGGGGCUCAACCUCGGAAUUGCAUUUGAAACUGGCAGACUAGAGUACUGUAGAGGGGGGUAGAAUUUCAGGUGUAGCGGUGAAAUGCGUAGAGAUCUGAAGGAAUACCGGUGGCGAAGGCGGCCCUCUGGACAGAUACUGACACUCAGAUGCGAAAGCGUGGGGAGCAAACAGGAUUAGAUACCCUGGUAGUCCACGCCCUAAACGAUGUCUACUUGGAGGUUGUGGCCUUGAGCCGUGGCUUUCGGAGCUAACGCGUUAAGUAGACCGCCGGGGGAGUACGGUCGCAAGAUUAAAACUCAGAUGAAUUGACGGGCGCCCGCACAAGCGGUGGAGCAUGUGGUUUAAUUCGAUGCAACGCGAAGAACCUUACCUACUCUAGACAUCCAGAGAACUUUCCAGAGAUGGAUUGGUGCCUUCGGGAACUCUGAAACAGGUGCUGCAUGGCUGUCGUCAGCUCGUGUUGUGAAAUGUUGGGUUAAGUCCCGCACGAUCGCACCCUUAUCCUUGUUUGCCGGCAAUUAUGGUGGGAACUCCGGGAAACGCCCGUGAAUAACCGGAGAAAGGUGGGGCCAACUCCCUUCUUCCGGGCCCUUCCCAUAGGGGUCCCC